CCUACGGGGGACAGCAGUGGGGGAUAUUGCACAAUGGGGGAAACCCUGAUGCAGCGACGCCGCGUGAGUGAAGAAGUAUUUCGGUAUGUAAAGCUCUAUUUGCAGGGAAGAAAAUGACAGUACCUGACCAAGAAGCCCCGGCUAACUACGUGCCAGCAGCCGCGGCAACACGUAGGGGGCAAGCGUUAUCCGGAUUGACUGGGUGUAAAGGGAGCGUAGUCGGUUAUGUAAGUCUGGGGUGAAAGCCCGGGGCUCAACCCCGGGACUGCUUUGGAAACUGUGUGACUGGAGUACAGGAGGGGCAGGCGGAAUGCCUGGUGUAGCGGUGAAAUGCGUAGAGAUCAGGAAGAACACCGACGGCGAAGGCAGCCUGCUGGACUGAGACUGACGUUGAGGCACGAAAGCGUGGGGAGCAAACAGGAUUAGAUACCCCAGUAGUC
rnacentral:rRNA from 1 species